rnacentral:rRNA from 1 species
UAGUAACGAAGCUAACGCGUGAAGUCGACCGCCUGGGGAGUACGGCCGCAAGGUUAAAACUCAAAGGAAUUGACGGGGACCCGCACAAGCGGUGGAUUAUGUGGAUUAAUUCGAUGCAACGCGAAAAACCUUACCUACCCUUGACAUGCCAGGAAGGCUCCAGAAAUGGGGCUGUGCCCGAAAGGGAGCCUGGACACAGGUGCUGCAUGGCUGUCGUCAGCUCGUGUCGUGAGAUGUUGGGUUAAGUCCCGCAACGAGCGCAACCCUUGUCAUUAGUUGCUACAUUCAGUUGGGCACUCUAAUGAGACUGCCGGUGACAAACCGGAGGAAGGUGGGGAUGACGUCAAGUCCUCAUGGCCCUUAUGGGUAGGGCUUCACACGUAAUACAAUGGCACGUACAGAGGGUUGCCAAGUCGCGAGACGGAGCCAAUCCCAGAAAGCGCGUCGUAGUCCGGAUCGGAGUCUGCAACUCGACUCCGUGAAGUCGGAAUCGCUAGUAAUCGCGGAUCAGCAUGUCGCGGUGAAUACGUUCCCGGGUCUUGUACACACCGCCCGUCACACCAUGGGAGUGGGUUCUACCAGAAGCAGGUCGCCUAACCGCAAGGGGGGCGCCUACCACGGUAGGAUUCAUGACUGGGGGUGAAGUCGUAACAAGGUAACCAAG